UACGUAGGGUGCAAGCGUUAAUCGGAAUUACUGGGCGUAAAGCGUGCGCAGGCGGCUUUGCAAGACAGAUGUGAAAUCCCCGGGCUUAACCUGGGAACUGCAUUUGUGACUGCAUGGCUGGAGUGCGGCAGAGGGGGAUGGAAUUCCGCGUGUAAGCAGUGAAAUGCGUAGAUAUGCGGAGGAACACCGAUGGCGAAGGCAUCCCCUGGGCCUGCACUGACGCUCAUGCACGAAAGCGUGGGGAGCAAACAGGAUUA
rnacentral:rRNA from 1 species